rnacentral:rRNA from 1 species
UACGUAGGGGGCUAGCGUUGUCCGGAAUCAUUGGGCGUAAAGCGCGUGUAGGCGGUCCGGUAAGUCCGCUGUGAAAGUCGGGGGCUCAACCCUCGAAUGCCGGUGGAUACUGUCGGGCUAGAGUGCGGAAGAGGCGAGUGGAAUUCCUGGUGUAGCGGUGAAAUGCGCAGAUAUCAGGAGGAACACCAAUUGCGAAGGCAGCUCGCUGGAACGUAACUGACGCUGAGACGCGAAAGCGUGGGGAGCAAACAGG